rnacentral:lncRNA from 1 species
GGAUACUCAAUUGACUUCAACCUGACUUUGAAGUCCUCCAUUGGAUCUUCUCGGAAGAUGAGGGAAAUGAGAGAGUGUGGAGAGAGAUUUUGUAAGUCCGGUCUGGAAGUGGUCAUUGUUCAGAAUCCAGCCACGUGGGUACAUGGAACUGUAAGGCUAUUUCAACAUGGGAAACUGAAAUCGGGCAUAUCCCUGCGGAAGAAGCUGUCUCUUAGCGAAGAAUAAAACUGUGGACUGACCCCCACCCAUUUGCGAAGAAAGUACUGGGUCUUCAGCUUUCAUUGUUCAGCCGGUGGUCUUUGUGGACAACACCAGGGGCCCCUCCUGCUGAAGACUGUCUGGACUUCCUGAUUUUCACUCCUGUAUAAACCCCCUCCCCCAUUACUACCUUUGUCUCCUUGGGGAAAAAAAAUGUUUUUCACUUAAGCAAAAUAAUAACUACCCAGUAUUUGUUUCUGGAGUGAAAUUGUAAACUUCAUUGUACAUUCUUCCUGGCUUUGAUGCUUAUCGUGAAGAGUUCAGUGAAAAUAAAUUGUUUUUAUGAAAGCAGAGAAACCAUUUGAUAAACACGCUGUCUCUGAAAAUCGUUCCUGCAAAAGAGGUCAUUCUUUCACUUUAAAAGAAAUAGAAUAUAUUUCAGAAAACAGGCAGGACAACAUACAAAUUUUUUUUUAAGGCAGAGUGUAAAUACAGUGAAAAUUGCACACCUCCUGAUUGUGUGGAGUGUUUUGG